AUGUAUAUUUUGUGCUUUUUUAGAUCCCUUACGCAGUUCUCAGUUCUGUUCUUGUUUCGAUCAGAAAUAUUACGGAAGACGACAUUUUAAAGUUCCAGGAAAAUCCAGAUUAUGAAUCGGAAAAAUCCACGAAAAUGCUGAUUUCAAAUGACGACGUUAAUCAUAAUUCAACUCAUACAGAAGAUUUUGAUCAGAAGACAGAGUUUUCAGAGACAGGGAAAGAAUUUCGUCUAACUAA